rnacentral:miRNA from 1 species
GGUGUCCACCCGCCCCGGCC